CCUACGGGAGGCAGCAGUGAGGAAUAUUGGUCAAUGGACGCAAGCCUGAACCAGCCAUGCCGCGUGCAGGAUGACGGCUCUAUGAGUUGUAAACUGCUUUUGUACGAGGGCAAACCCCGACACGUGUAUCGGGUUGAAAGUAUCGUACGAAUAAGGAUCGGCUAACCCCGUGCCAGCAGCCGCGGUAAUACGGAGGAUCCGAGCGUUAUCCGGAUUUAUUGGGUUUAAAGGGUGCGUAGGCGGUUUGAUAAGUUAGAGGUGAAAAGUCGGGGCUCAACCCCGAAACUGCCGCUAAUACUGGUAGACUAGAGAAUGGUUGCGGUAGGCGGAAUGUAUGGUGUAGCAGUGAAAUGCUUAGAGAUCAUACAGAACACCGAUUGCGAAGGCAGCUUACCGAACUAUAACUGACGUUGAGGCACGAAAGCGUGGGUAGCGAACAGGAUUAGAUACCCGAGUAGUC
rnacentral:rRNA from 1 species